rnacentral:lncRNA from 1 species
AGCGACUUAAAACAUACACUAUUAUAGAUUUAUAGUUCCUAUCCAUAUGAACAAUCAACAGAACACACAUGGAGAGGUAAGGGGGGAUACAUAGUGGACCAGAAGAUCAUCAAUCUUCAUCCUAUAAAUGGAGAUAGUUCUGUAUCAUUUACAGUCGUCGCAAGCAUGCAUAAAUGGAGAGAAGGCAAGUAUGAACUCCAUGGAAAUUAGGAUAACAAGCGCAGCCAAGAAGGAAAUCAAAUUGAAGGAGAGAUCCCAAUGUAGCUGUAUGGCUUGUUCCAUCCUAGUGCAACACAUGGAGCACAUCAUACAUUAAUAACACGAUAGAGGGAUCUUUCCGGAGAGUGGGACCGGAGGAGAGUUUGGAUGUAAGUUGCAAAGUAGAGAAAACAUUUGAAGGAACAAGAAGUCGUAGCGAUGAGCGUGCAAAGUGGAGGAGAUGGGAAGGGGUGAGAACGGCGCAACAAAGCAAGACGGCCAUGGAUGGCGGUGUUCUGGUGGCCUGAAGAACCAUGUUUAAGUUAGGAGCAGAAAGAGAAUCUGGGUUUGGAGCGGUUAGGUUGUUGGGUUCGGGUAGCAUUAAAGGGCUUGGCCCAAGAUAAGAAAACAUAUCAAAACACAAAUGUCAAAGUACAAACUAGAUACCUCUCCGCGUUUGAUGGUUAGCAUCAGGCGAGAAAGAUGUUCACUGGGCAAUUUGGGGGAGGAAAAAGAUAUGCUAUUAGUACUUACAUUUGUUUUGGUGAAUCUAUUAGUGCUUGU